rnacentral:lncRNA from 1 species
CCUCUAAGCGAGGUUUAGUGAGCUAAAUUCACCGGAUUAGCGAGCCGAGCGGACCAAAACGACGGGGACGCCGAGGAGAACAACUUUCCUCAAAGUGGGCCGAGCAUCCGGGCUCGGGAAGGCGGCCAAAACGGGCCAAACGUCCGCUGCAUACCCAUUUUUUUUCAGCUGCUGUCCAUGGCGGUUUGAGGCCGAGGAAGGGUAGAUCCGGCGCCGGUUCGGGUCGGAAAGGGCGGAGGAGCUACGGCGGUGGCUGGCGGCGACGAACGGC